rnacentral:lncRNA from 12 species
GCAGCCGGCUGGCCCCGGGGUCCGCAGAAAGCCCUGGAGACUCCGGGUCCCCUGCGCCCGUUGGGCUCUGGCCCACCCUGACGGCAGCGCGAGCGUCCCCAGGCCACUGCAGGGCUCGGGGCUGCGCCCUCCCCCCAGGGACCGGACUGGCCCUCCCCGCAGGGGCUGGGUGCACCCCAGGGUGCCGCUGGGGGCAGAGGUUGCAGGCCGGCCCGGUCCCGGCAAGCUUCACCGGCAACGUGGGUGCCUAGGGCUGACCCCUCCCCGCCCCUCACGCCACCCCCGGAGCCGGGAAGGGAGCAGAAGGUAUUCUUUUCAUUUUCCAGACGGUUCUGGGGGUUGGCGGAGGGGGGCUGGCAGUUGCGGGGGGCGGGGGAGGAGGGUGUGUGUCUCUCUAUGAUUUGCAGAAGCUUCUCAGUCAGCCCUCAUUCCUUCUUCAGGGGGAAUUGCUCUAUAAGUGGGAUAGAUUUGAUAUGUCUGUGGAGGAGGGGAGUUCAGGGUCUUUUUACAUUGCCACCUUGGACUAUAAGUCCAACUUCUUCCAAGUUUUAAAUGUUUGCAUAAGUUAACCACCCAAACAAAAAACCCCAAGAACAAUGAAAAUACUAUGCAGGCCAAAUAGUUUUUGACUAAAUCAGCUUUGGUCAAGCCACCCAUCCCUGCCUGGAAAGCUGCCCUCUGUUCCCUGGAAAGCCACUCUUCCUGGUGGGAUAUUUAGGAUGAGGCUCUUUUUGGCUGAGCUAAAAACUCUUAAGAUUAAAUAAGCAGAGGUUCUUCCAGUAGACAGGUGCUUUACAAAUAGAGUCAGAGAGCAAGGGAAUCAAGAAAAUUGCUUUAAGUUUCAUCUAGCCCCAAAUUAUUCUUUUGCACUUAUUGGUGUUAGAGAGAUGAUUUUCACUCCUAUAGAGACCUGGACUACAGCCAGGUAGUCCAAACUGGAUUUGCCUACUUUUUUGUGUCCCGCACAGUGCCUGGCGCACAGCAGUUGCUCAGUAGGUAUUUGGUAAGUGGGUGAGCGAGUGGUGAAUGGAAAGGUGAAGGGCUCUUUUCUCCACUCACAGAGAAGAUUGUCAUGCGAAUUUCGGCUGAGGGACGGGAAGGUCUUCUCUAGGCAGUUCUGGCAAGUAAAGACAAUGAGGCUUCUGUGUUAAUUCAGAGUGUAAUUUGCAAUAUUUCACAUUUAUUUGUUGCAUGUGUGGUUGUGGUUUUUUAAUUCAGUUGAAUGUUUUGAACAGAGUUCUUAAAUAUUGGAUUAUUAACAGUGCCGAGGCUAGGAGUAAAGUAAGUAUUUAAUAAAUUGUAAUUGUUACUGUAUUUUUAAUGAACU